AGCGAACGCUGGCGGUAGGCCUAACACAUGCAAGUCGAACGGCAGCACAGUAAGAGCUUGCUCUUACGGGUGGCGAGUGGCGGACGUGUGAGGAAUACAUCGGAAUCUACUUUUUCGUGGGGGAUAACGUAGGGAAACUUACGCUAAUACCGCAUACGACCUACGGGUGAAAGCAGGGGAUCUUCGGACCUUGCGCGAUUGAAUGAGCCGAUGUCGGAUUAGCUAGUUGGCGGGGUAAAGGCCCACCAAGGCGACGAUCCGUAGCUGGUCUGAGAGGAUGAUCAGCCACACUGGAACUGAGACACGGUCCAGACUCCUACGGGAGGCAGCAGUGGGGAAUAUUGGACAAUGGGCGAAAGCCUGAUCCAGCCAUACCGCGUGGGUGAAGAAGGCCUUCGGGUUGUAAAGCCCUUUUGUUGGGAAAGAAAAGCAGCAGGUUAAUACCCCGCUGUUCUGACGGUACCCAAAGAAUAAGCACCGGCUAACUUCGUG
rnacentral:rRNA from 1 species